CUGCAUGUUUUGGCCUCUGGCUGUUGUUGGCCACUCACUGCCUGGGAGUGGACACGUACAAACAUGCUAGAUAAACACUUAAAACAUUUGGGAGUUAACAGGGCCACCAGUCUCUCAAGGACAGACUGAGUUGGUAGUAUAAUACUCCAACAAUC
ensembl:snoRNA small nucleolar RNA U109